UAGGGAAUCUUCCGCAAUGGGCGAAAGCCUGACGGAGCAACGCCGCGUGAGUGAUGAAGGUCUUCGGAUCGUAAAACUCUGUUAUUAGGGAAGAACAAAUGUGUAAGUAACUAUGCACGUCUUGACGGUACCUAAUCAGAAAGCCACGGCUAACUACGUGCCAGCAGCCGCGGUAAUACGUAGGUGGCAAGCGUUAUCCGGAAUUAUUGGGCGUAAAGCGCGCGUAGGCGGUCUUUUAAGUCUGAUGUGAAAGCCCACGGCUCAACCGUGGAGGGUCAUUGGAAACUGGAAAACUUGAGUGCAGAAGAGGAAAGUGGAAUUCCAUGUGUAGCGGUGAAAUGCGCAGAGAUAUGGAGGAACACCAGUGGCGAAGGCGACUUUCUGGUCUGUAACUGACGCUGAUGUGCGAAAGCGUGGGGAUCAAACAGG
rnacentral:rRNA from 1 species